AGCAGCCGCGGUAAUUCCAGCUCCAAUAGCGUAUAUUAAAGUUGUUGCAGUUAAAAAGCUCGUAGUUGAAUUUCGGGGUCAGCAAGUUGGUCGUGCCACCGGUAUGCACUGGCUUUGCUGAUUCCUCCUUCUUGUAGAACCGUAAUGCCAUUAAUUUGGUGUUGCGGGGAAACAGGACUGUUACUUUGAAAAAAUUAGAGUGUUUAAAGCAGGCUAACGCUUGAAUACAUUAGCAUGGGAUAAUGAAAUAGGACGACGAUCCUAUUUUGUUGGUUUCUAGGAUUGACGUAAUGAUUAAUAGGGAUAGUUGGGGGCAUUAGUAUUCAAUUGUCAGAGGUGAAAUUCUUGGAUUUAUUGAAGACUAACUACUGCGAAAGCAUUUGCCAAGGAUGUUUUCAUUAAUCAAGAACGAAAGUUAGGGGAUCGAAGACGAUCAGAUACCGUCGUAGUCUUAACCAUAAACUAUGCCGACUAGGGAUCGGAUGAUGUUAAUUUUAUAAUGACUCAUUCGGCGCCUUAA
rnacentral:rRNA from 1 species